CCUACGGGAGGCAGCAGUGAGGAAUAUUGGUCAAUGGGCGCGAGCCUGAACCAGCCAAGUCGCGUGAGGGAAGACGGUCCUAUGGAUUGUAAACCUCUUUUGUCGGGGAGCAAAAGACGCCACGCGUGGCGUUCCGAGAGUACCCGACGAAAAAGCAUCGGCUAACUCCGUGCCAGCAGCCGCGGUAAUACGGAGGAUGCGAGCGUUAUCCGGAUUUAUUGGGUUUAAAGGGUGCGCAGGCGGAAGAGCAAGUCAGCGGUAAAAUUGAGAGGCUCAACCUCUUCGAGCCGUUGAAACUGGUGUUCUUGAGUGAGCGAGAAGUAUGCGGAAUGCGUGGUGUAGCGGUGAAAUGCAUAGAUAUCACGCAGAACUCCGAUUGCGAAGGCAGCAUACCGGCGCUCAACUGACGCUCAUGCACGAAAGUGUGGGUAUCGAACAGGAUUAGAUACCCUAGUAGUC
rnacentral:rRNA from 1 species